UUGGAGGGCAAGUCUGGUGCCAGCAGCCGCGGUAAUUCCAGCUCCAAUAGCGUAUAUUAAAGUUGCUGCAGUUAAAAAGCUCGUAGUUGAAUUUCGGGACCAUCAUGUCGGUCGUGCCUCGGUACGUACUGGUAUUGUUGGUUUCUCCCUUCUGACGAACCAUGAUGUCAUUUAUUUGGUGUUGUGGGGAAUCAGGACUGUUACUUUGAAAAAAUUAGAGUGUUUAAAGCAGGCUCACGCUUGAGUACAUUAGCAUGGAAUAAUGAAAUAGGACGUUUGAUUCUAUUUUGUUGGUUUCUAGGAUCGACGUAAUGAUUAAUAGGGAUAGUUGGGGGCAUUAGUAUUCAAUUGUCAGAGGUGAAAUUCUUGGAUUUAAUGAAGACUAACUACUGCGAAAGCAUUUGCCAAGGAUGUUUUCAUUAAUCAAGAACAAAAGUUAGGGGAUCGAAGACGAUCAGAUACCGUCGUAGUCUUAACCAUAAACUAUGCCGACUAGGGAUCGGAUGAUGUUAAUUUUUUAAUGACUCAUUCGGCGCCUUACGGGAAAC
rnacentral:rRNA from 1 species